GGAGGGAUGGCCGAGUGGCUGAAGGCGCCUGUCUUGAAAACAGGUUGGGUUCACCGCCCACGUGGGUUCGAAUCCCACUCCCUCCG
rnacentral:tRNA from 1 species